GGCUCUAUAGCUCAGUUGGUUAGAGCGUCUGCCUGGUAAGCAGAAGGUCAGGGUUCUACUCCCCUGGAGCCU
rnacentral:tRNA from 1 species